rnacentral:rRNA from 1 species
CCUACGAGAGGCAGCAGUGAGGAAUAUUGGUCAAUGGGAGAGAUCCUGAACCAGCCAAGCCGCGUGAGGGAAGACGGCCCUAUGGGUUGUAAACCUCUUUUGUCGGAGAACAAAACCCGGGACGUGUCCCGGCCUGCGUGUAUCCGAAGAAAAAGCAUCGGCUAACUCCGUGCCAGCAGCCGCGGUAAUACGGAGGAUGCGAGGGUGAUCCGGCUUUAUUGGGUUAAAGGGGUGCGUAGGCGGUCCGGUAAGUCAGCGGUAAAAUUGCGGGGCUAAACCCCGUCUAGCCGUUGAAACUGGCAGGCUUGAGUUGGCGAGAAGUACGCGGAAUGCGAGGUGUAGCGGUGAAAUGCAUAGAUAUCGCGCAGAACUCCGAUUGCGAAGGCAGCGUACCGGCGCCAGACUGACGCUGAGGCACGAAAGCGUGGGGAUCGAACAGGAUUAGAUACCCCUGUAGUC